UGUCUCACCGGUGCUUUCUGUUGAUUCUCGGACCGUAUCGCCGUCGCCGCCGUUUUUUUCCGGGCAGAGAUCUGUAAACAGAGGUGGUGGAAUGGAUUCCAUUUUAAGGGAUCAUGCACACUAGGAUUCACCAUGAGGUCAAGAUUCAUCAAAGACUUUUACUUUUCCCCUAUUCUAAAUCUAACAAUGUGGUAAUUGAAAUCUGA
rnacentral:lncRNA from 1 species